GGCGUGCCUAAUACAUGCAAGUUGAGCGCUGAAGGUUGGUACUUGUACCGACUGGAUGAGCAGCGAACGGGUGAGUAACGCGUGGGGAAUCUGCCUUUGAGCGGGGGACAACAUUUGGAAACGAAUGCUAAUACCGCAUAAAAACUUUAAACACAAGUUUUAAGUUUGAAAGAUGCAAUUGCAUCACUCAAAGAUGAUCCCGCGUUGUAUUAGCUAGUUGGUGAGGUAAAGGCUCACCAAGGCGAUGAUACAUAGCCGACCUGAGAGGGUGAUCGGCCACAUUGGGACUGAGACACGGCCCAAACUCCUACGGGAGGCAGCAGUAGGGAAUCUUCGGCAAUGGACGAAAGUCUGACCGAGCAACGCCGCGUGAGUGAAGAAGGUUUUCGGAUCGUAAAACUCUGUUGGUAGAGAAGAACGUUGGUGAGAGUGGAAAGCUCAUCAAGUGACGGUAACUACCCAGAAAGGGACGGCUAACUACGUGCCAGCAGCCGCGGUAAUACGUAGGUCCCGAGCGUUGUCCGGAUUUAUUGGGCGUAAAGCGAGCGCAGGUGGUUUAUUAAGUCUGGUGUAAAAGGCAGUGGCUCAACCAUUGUAUGCAUUGGAAACUGGUAGACUUGAGUGCAGGAGAGGAGAGUGGAAUUCCAUGUGUAGCGGUGAAAUGCGUAGAUAUAUGGAGGAACACCGGUGGCGAAAGCGGCUCUCUGGCCUGUAACUGACACUGAGGCUCGAAAGCGUGGGGAGCAAACAGGAUUAGAUACCCUGGUAGUCCACGCCGUAAACGAUGAGUGCUAGAUGUAGGGAGCUAUAAGUUCUCUGUAUCGCAGCUAACGCAAUAAGCACUCCGCCUGGGGAGUACGACCGCAAGGUUGAAACUCAAAGGAAUUGACGG
rnacentral:rRNA from 1 species